UACGGGGGGAGCAAGCGUUGUUCGGAUUUACUGGGCGUAAAGGGCGCGUAGGCGGUCAGCACAAGUCAGUUGUGAAAUCUCCGGGCUUAACUCGGAAAGGUCAACUGAUACUGUGCGACUAGAGUGCAGAAGGGGCAACUGGAAUUCGUCGGUGUAGCGGUGAAAUGCGUAGAUAUCGAGAGGAACACCUGCGGCGAAGGCGGGUUGCUGGGCUGACACUGACGCUGAUGCGCGAAAGCCAGGGGAGCGAACGGG
rnacentral:rRNA from 1 species